GGCACGAAGCCGGCUGAUCCGCCCCCGGAGCCCCCCCCAGCAGCCUCCCCCCCCCCGCGUCCCGCAGCGCCCAAAACCCUCGGGGGGACGGCCCCGGGCAGGGGAACGGGGGGGGGCAACAGGCGGGACCCCCCCCUCCCUGCCACCCUCGGGGCUGCUAGCCGGGCUGGGAGGCAUUAAACCGACCCCAAAAGGAAGGCAGGUCUGAGGGAAGCGUUGGCACAGCACCGGGCAGGGCAGGAAGAGAAAUGAAGCAUUUCAUAAACAUCGUGAUAAUGAGAACGGCAUCAGCUCGUGGUUUAAAGCCAGGUGAAGCCCUGGUCCUGCCUGCAGCACGGCUGCGCUCACGGCGCUGAUAGAAGCCAGCUGAGGGCACCGAGUGUGAACUUUUAUCUCUGCUGACAUGACAUAUUAUUAAAAAGUAUUUCAAGUAAUCUUUUAUUU